UCCGGUUGAUCCUGCCRGACCCGACUGCUAUCAGAGUGGGACUAAGCCAUGCGAGUCAACAUAGCAAUAUGUGGCAUACGGCUCAGUAACACGUAGUCAACAUGCCCAGGGGACGUGGAUAACCUCGGGAAACUGAGGAUAAACCGCGAUAGGUCAUCACUUCUGGAAUGGGUAAUGACUUAAAUCUACAUGGCCCCUGGAUUGGACUGCGGCCGAUCAGGCUGUUGGUGAGGUAAUGGCCCACCAAACCUGUAACCGGUACGGGCUCUGAGAGGAGGAGCCCGGAGAUGGGCACUGAGACAAGGGCCCAGGCCCUAUGGGGCGCAGCGGGCGCGAAACCUCUGCAAUAGGCGAAAGCUUGACAGGGUUACUCUGAGUGAUUUCCGUUAAGGAGAUCUUUUGGCACCUCUAAAAAUGGUGCAGAAUAAGGGGUGGGCAAGUCUGGUGUCAGCCGCCGCGGUAAUACCAGCACCCCGAGUGGUCGGGACGUUUAUUGGGCCUAAAGCAUCCGUAGCUGGUUCUACAAGUCUUCCGUUAAAUCCACCUGCUUAACAGAUGGGCUGCGAAAGAUACUAUAGAGCUAGGAGGCGGGAGAGGCAAGCGGUACUCGAUGGGUAGGGGUAAAAUCCGUUGAUCCAUUGAAGACCACCAGUGGCGAAGGCGGCUUGCCAGAACGCGCUCGACGGUGAGGGAUGAAAGCUGGGGGAGCAAACCGGAUUAGAUACCCGGGUAGUCCCAGCUGUAAACGAUGCAGACUCGGUGAUGAGUUGGCUUAUUGCUAACUCAGUGCCGCAGGGAAGCCGUUAAGUUUGCCGCCUGGGGAGUACGGUCGCAAGACUGAAACUUAAAGGAAUUGGCGGGGGAGCACCACAAGGGGUGAAGCCUGCGGUUCAAUUGGAKUCAACGCCGGRA
rnacentral:rRNA from 1 species